UAAAAGUAACCUAUUAAUAUCAACCAACAUAAUUAAAAGUGAACUUGUUAUUAUCAAUAAGUUUAGUUUAGUUAUAUUUAUUGAUAUUAAUAAGUUACUUUUAACGGAAUAGGAAAAACUAAGGUGAUGUUUGUUUUUAGUUUUUUCUAUUCAGAUAAAAGUAACAUGUUGACAUCAUCCAAUAUAAUUAAACUGAACAUAUAACAAGUUCAUUUUAAUUAUGUUGGAUAAUAUCAAUAGAUUACUUUUA
rnacentral:pre_miRNA from 1 species